AUUGAACGCUGGCGGCAGGCCUAACACAUGCAAGUCGAGCGACCGGCGGACGGGUGAGUAAUGUAUGGCUACUGGCCGAUAGGGGGGGCUUACUACUGGGAACGGUAGCUACUCCCGCGUACUAUCGGAUAACCCAUAUGGGAGUAGCUAGUAGGGGGGGUACUGGCCUACCUAGGCGACGAUCCCUAGCUGGUCUGAGAGGAUGAUCAGCCACACUGGGACUGAGACACGGCCCAGACUCCUACGGAGGCAGCAGUGGGGAAUAUUGGACAAUGGGCGCAAGCCUGAUGCAGCCAUGCCGCGUGUAUGAAGAAGGCCUUAGGGUUGUAAAGUACUUUCAGUCGGGAGGCGUUACCGACAGAAGAAGCACCGGCUAACUCCGUGCCAGCAGCCGCGGUAAUUC
rnacentral:rRNA from 1 species